rnacentral:piRNA from 1 species
AUCACAUUUCUGCCCCACUCUC